AGUGAUGGCGUCACCGGCGCGACACCCGGAAGCGCUGCGGCAGGAGGGGGGCUUACUCUCAGGGAUGGCUCAGCUAGGUGCUAUAGCAGCAGUGACUCUGAGUUUUGUGGCUGCAGCGUUCUUCUCUGCCAUACACAAAAUUGAA